rnacentral:rRNA from 1 species
GAUGAACGCUAGCGGCAGGCCUAACACAUGCAAGUCGAACGGUAACAUAGAGUGCUUGCACUUUGAUGACGAGUGGCGUACGGGUGCGUAACGCGUAUACAAUCUACCUUUUACAGGGGUAUAGCCCAGAGAAAUUUGGAUUAACACCCCAUAGUAUUUAGAACUGGCAUCGGUUUUAAAUUAAAACUUAGGUGGUAAAAGAUGAGUAUGCGUUCUAUUAGCUAGUAGGUAGGGUAACGGCUUACCUAGGCAACGAUAGAUAGGGGCCCUGAGAGGGGGAUCCCCCACACUGGUACUGAGACACGGACCAGACUCCUACGGGAGGCAGCAGUGAGGAAUAUUGGACAAUGGAGGGAACUCUGAUCCAGCCAUGCCGCGUGCAGGAAGACUGCCCUAUGGGUUGUAAACUGCUUUUAUACAGGAAGAAACGCUCUCACGUGUGGGGGUUUGACGGUACUGUAAGAAUAAGGAUCGGCUAACUCCGUGCCAGCCGCCGCCGUAACAC